CAGGAAGAGCAAGUGUUUAAUUGCUAAAAGAGGAUUUCAUAACUCCACCUAGAAUUAGGCAUCAACUUACCCUUUUCCCCACCUCUGGGAUGCUGGGGAAAAG